UACGGAGGGUGCAAGCGUUAUCCGGACUUACUGGGUUUAAAGGGUGCGCAGGCGGAUAUGUAAGUCAGUGGUGAAAUCUCUAGGCUUAACCUGGAAAUUGCCGUUGAUACUAUAUAUCUUGAAUGCUGUGGAGGUAAGCGGAAUAUGUCAUGUAGCGGUGAAAUGCUUAGAUAUGACAUAGAACACCUAUUGCGAAGGCAGCUUACUACGCAGAUAUUGACGCUCAUGCACGAAAGCGUGGGGAUCAAACAGG
rnacentral:rRNA from 1 species